AAGACCUUGCGCUUUUGGAGCGGCCGAUGCCUGAUUAGCUUGUUGGUAAGGUAAAAGCUUACCAAGGCUUCGAUCAGUAGCUGGUCUGAGAGGACGACCAGCCACACUGGGACUGAGACACGGCCCAGACUCCUACGGGGGGCAGCAGUGGGGAAUUUUGGACAAUGGGGGCAACCCUGAUCCAGCCAUGCCGCGUGAGUGAAGAAGGCCUUCGGGUUGUAAAGCUCUUUCAGCCGGAACGAAACGGUUACGGAUAACACCCGUGACUACUGACGGUACCGGAAGAAGAAGCACCGGCUAACUACGUGCCAGCAGCCGCGGUAAUACGUAGGGUGCGAGCGUUAAUCGGAAUUACUGGGCGUAAAGCGUGCGCAGGUGGUUUUGUAAGUCAGAUGUGAAAGCCCCGGGCUCAACCUGGGAACU
rnacentral:rRNA from 1 species